rnacentral:misc_RNA from 1 species
UCCUCGUUUAAGCGAGGCAGUCUGUCCAGAGUGCUUCAAACUCUCGUUUGAGUGGCAACAGGACACAAGGGUUGCGCUCGUUGCGGGACUUAACCCAACAUCUCACGACACGAGCUGACGACAGCCAUGCAGCACCUGUGCAUGCUGGUAUUGCUACCUCGUCCCCCUUUCAGGGUUCUACUACAUGCAUGUCAAGGCCAGGUAAGGUUCUUCGCGUUGCAUCGAAUUAAGCCACAUACUCCACCGCUUGUGCAGGCCCCCGUCAAUUUCUUUGAGUUUUAAUCUUGCGACCGUACUCCCCAGGCGGCGCAUUUAACGCGUUGGCUACGCCACAAGUGGGGUCGAUUCCACUUACAGCAAAUGCGCACCGUUUACGGCUAGGACUAC